GACGAACGCUGGCGGCGUGCUUAACACAUGCAAGUCGUACGGUAAGGCCCUUUCGGGGGUACACGAGUGGCGAACGGGUGAGUAACACGUGAGUAACCUGCCCACAACUUUGGGAUAACGCUAGGAAACUGGUGCUAAUACUGGAUAUGUGCUCCUGCUGCAUGGUGGGGGUUGGAAAGCUCCGGCGGUUGUGGAUGGACUCGCGGCCUAUCAGCUUGUUGGUGGGGUAGUGGCCUACCAAGGCGGCGACGGGUAGCCGGCCUGCGAGGGUGACCGGCCAAAUUGGGGAUUGAGUACGGGCCAGCAUCCGACGGGGGGGCGCAGGGGGGAACUGUGGCCAAGGGGCGCAAGCCUUAUGCAGCAACGCCGCGGGGGGGGUGGCAGACUUCGGGUUGGAAAACGCAUUCAGCAGGGACGGAGCUUUUUGUGACGGUACCUGAAGAAGAAGCAACGGCUAACUACGUG
rnacentral:rRNA from 1 species